rnacentral:rRNA from 1 species
GACAGAGGGGGCGAGCGUUGUCCGGAGUCACUGGGCGUAAAGCGCGCGCAGGCGGCAACCUUAGUGUCGUGUUAAAGCCCCCGGCUCAACCGGGGGAGGCCAUGGCAAUCUGGAUCGCUCGAGCUGCGGAGAGGCUCCUCGAAUUGCCGGUGUAGCGGUGAAACGCGUAGAGAUCGGCAGGAAGCCCAAGGGGGAAGCCAGGGGGCUGGCCGCAGGCUGACGCUGAGGCGCGACAGCGUGGGGAGCAAACCGG